AGCGAACGCUGGCGGCAGGCCUAACACAUGCAAGUCGAACGAAGUCUUCGGACUUAGUGGCGGACGGGUGAGUAACACGUGGGAACGUACCUUUUGGUUCGGAACAACUCAGGGAAACUUGAGCUAAUACCGGAUGAGCCCUUAGGGGGAAAGAUUUAUCGCCGAAAGAGCGGCCCGCGUUAGAUUAGCUAGUUGGUGAGGUAAAGGCUCACCAAGGCUACGAUCUAUAGCUGGUCUGAGAGGAUGAUCAGCCACACUGGGACUGAGACACGGCCCAGACUCCUACGGGAGGCAGCAGUGGGGAAUCUUGCGCAAUGGGCGAAAGCCUGACGCAGCCAUGCCGCGUGAAUGAUGAAGGUCUUAGGAUUGUAAAAUUCUUUUACCAGGGACGAUAAUGACGGUACCCGGAGAAGAAGCCCCGGCUAACUUCGUGCCAGCCGCCGCCGUAUAC
rnacentral:rRNA from 1 species